ACUUAAAUUGAAGAGUUUGAUCAUGGCUCAGAUUGAACGCUGGCGGCAGGCCUAACACAUGCAAGUCGAGCGGUAGCACAGAGAGCUUGCUCUCGGGUGACGAGCGGCGGACGGGUGAGUAAUGUCUGGGAAACUGCCUGAUGGAGGGGGAUAACUACUGGAAACGGUAGCUAAUACCGCAUAAUGUCGCAAGACCAAAGUGGGGGACCUUCGGGCCUCAUGCCAUCAGAUGUGCCCAGAUGGGAUUAGCUAGUAGGUGGGGUAACGGCUCACCUAGGCGACGAUCCCUAGCUGGUCUGAGAGGAUGACCAGCCACA
rnacentral:rRNA from 1 species